rnacentral:rRNA from 1 species
AUGAUGAAAACCAUUUCAGAAAUUACUCAAGUAGCAGUGGUCCGAUACUCCCAUCAGAAAUCAGAACGGUCAUGUUUCUUCUGCCCCUUGAUAAUUUACACGUACGGCACAUUCGUACUCUCAUACUUUUCCCCGGUAAAAUUCACACAGCACAUGAUGCUGCAUCGCGCGCAUGCAGCUGAUCAUCAACAGCCGACGGCGGCGGACGGGCAAUUAACGGCCAGCUCACAGGCUGGGCACCCUCUCGGCGGCGCCGGAGAUGACGGUGAGCAGGUUGUUGCCGAAGGGGUCGCUGAGGUGCGCGCACAGGUUCUCGAAGGGGCCCUCGCCGGUGACGUAGGCCUGGAUGAAGAACCCCAGCAUGGAGAACAUGGCCAGCCGCCCGUUCUUGAUCUCCUUCACCUUGAGCAGCGCCGCCUGGUCCGGGUUGAUGGGGAUGCUGUUGCCGAAGUAGUUGAGGGUGUUGCCGUCGAGGAGAAGGGCGCCGGUCUGCAGGAUGUUGUUUAUGGCACCGUGAGUUCAAACUUCCAAAGUUCUGAAUCUGAAGCCGUGAAAACUGACGACCAGCAUUCAGCAAUUACUACCUUGAACCAAACGGCCUCGGGGCCGCAGUUUGCGCCGAACUUGUUGAGCGCCUCGGGGAUGAUGAAUCCGGCGGCGCCGAGCAUGGCCCACCUGGCAUGGAUGAGCUCAAAGGCCUGGUACCUGCAGAAUUGA